rnacentral:lncRNA from 1 species
UCCAUGGAUACCGUGGAUUUGACUCGAGUAGGACAAAGAACCAACAGGUAAGAGGAAGAGCACGACCAAGACUCGUACGAGGAGGCCGUGACCGACUGCUAAUUGUGUCGUCAUAAUUUUCUUCCUCGUUCGUUAUAAGACAAAGUAUGUGAAGUUGGAAAUCUACGCUGGAUGUGAUUCACUUUCACGGAUAUAUAAUGCAAAUUUAUAAAACUGACAGGUGAAAGCGAAAGGGUACAUAGUUAACACGUUUUCCAAGUUAAAUCAACUAUUAGC